rnacentral:misc_RNA from 1 species
GUUCGAGCGUCAUUAUAACCACUCAAGCCUCGGCUUGGUAUUGGGGUUCGCCAACUCGCGGCCCUUAAAAUUAGUGGCGGUGCCGUCUGGCUCUAAGCGUAGUAAUAUCUCUCGCUAUAGGGUCCGGGUGGUUGCUUGCUAGAAUCCCCCCAUUUUAUAAGGUUGACCUCGGAUCAGGUAGGGAUACCCGCUGAACUUAA